GCUGAUGCAUGUGCACAUGCAGGAGUCUGUAUUGAGUGGAGAAAUUAUACAAAUGGGCAAUGUGACUUCACAUGCGAGAAACCCAAGGUUUAUAAUGCCUGCGGUCCACAAGUUGAACCAACCUGUAAUGCCUGG